AGUGAACGCUGGCGGUAGGCCUAACACAUGCAAGUCGAACGGCAGCACAGUAAGAGCUUGCUCUUACGGGUGGCGAGUGGCGGACGGGUGAGGAAUACAUCGGAAUCUACUUUUUCGUGGGGGAUAACGUAGGGAAACUUACGCUAAUACCGCAUACGACCUACGGGUGAAAGCAGGGGAUCUUCGGACCUUGCGCGAUUGAAUGAGCCGAUGUCGGAUUAGCUAGUUGGCGGGGUAAAGGCCCACCAAGGCGACGAUCCGUAGCUGGUCUGAGAGGAUGGUCAGCCACACUGGAACUGAGACACGGUCCAGACUCCUACGGGAGGCAGCAGUGGGGAAUAUUGGACAAUGGGCGCAAGCCUGAUCCAGCCAUACCGCGUGGGUGAAGAAGGCCUUCGGGUUGUAAAGCCCUUUUGUUGGGAAAGAAAGGCAGCAGGUUAAUACCCCGCUGUUCUGACGGUACCCAAAGAAUAAGCACCGGCUAACUUCGU
rnacentral:rRNA from 1 species